AUGAAAUCCUGAAAACGGUAUUGCCCAGCCUGAAAUCACGUCCCACUAAAAGUUUGUUUCCUUUUUUAGCCAAAACUGUACUGUACCACUUAAGGUAAAUCAUAUUCUUAUUCUUACAGAGAUGGUGCCAAGCGUAUCGGGCGGAAGAUUUCAUUUGUGCAGUCAACACCAACAACGGUAUUGAAAGACAAAAUAGGUCGUUUAAAUACGAGUACCUGUUGGGGAAUAAAGGAUGCUCUCUAAGUGACAUGGUAAAAGUUCUUGUCAAUCAGUUUCUGCCAAAAACUUUCAGAAAGUAAGAAAUUUUCAGUACCUCACCUAUACUGUAAAAAGUAAUCAAUCUAAAGGACUUACUUAGUAAAUCACAGAUGUGAUUCCAUUGUGAGGUGUUCUUUACAUGCUGUACUGUAAACCAAGUCACGAGUUUAUUUUCUUAUCAUUGUGUGUUCACCAUCCCUAAAAUGUAUUUUAAAGAAGUGCAUACAAAUGCAGUAUAUUUAACAAAUGCUUUUGUCUGUGACCUUAGGUAUGUUGAGUUAAAUGUGAAAUGCCAUGAUGGCUACCGUGCUUACAAUGAGGAACUGCCAAGAUUUCUUUACAACAGACCAGCAAAAAGGUGCGGUGGGAAAGUGACAUAGAUCCCACAUAAAGAAGCGGUGGGAAAGUGAC